AUUGAACGCUGGCGGCAUGCCUUACACAUGCAAGUCGAACGGCAGCACGGGGCAACCUGGUGGCGAGUGGCGAACGGGUGAGUAAUGCAUCGGAACGUGCCAUUGAGUGGGGGAUAACGUAGCGAAAGUUGCGCUAAUACCGCAUAUUCUGUGAGCAGGAAAGCAGGGGACCGCAAGGCCUUGCGCUCUUUGAGCGGCCGAUGUCAGAUUAGCUAGUUGGUGGGGUAAAGGCUCACCAAGGCGACGAUCUGUAGCGGGUCUGAGAGGAUGAUCCGCCACACUGGGACUGAGACACGGCCCAGACUCCUACGGGAGGCAGCAGUGGGGAAUUUUGGACAAUGGGGGCAACCCUGAUCCAGCAAUGCCGCGUGAGUGAAGAAGG
rnacentral:rRNA from 1 species